UUAAACGCUUCAAUAUCUGCCACUAAUACUUACCCAAAUGGUUUAAGGGGGCGCUUUCGAAAAGCGUUAGGUUUUUUUGCAUGCGUGGGUUCGAAUCCCACAUUCUUGGCCAAAAUAUUAACUGUA
rnacentral:sRNA from 1 species